rnacentral:rRNA from 1 species
UAAGGAAUAUUGGUCAAUGGACGGAAGUCUGAACCAGCCAUGCCGCGUGCAGGAAGACGGCCCUACGGGUUGUAAACUGCUUUUAUACCGGAAUAAACCUUUCUAUGUAUAGGGAGCUGAAUGUACGGUAAGAAUAAGGAUCGGCUAACUCCGUGCCAGCAGCCGCGGUAAUACGGAGGAUCCAAGCGUUAUCCGGAUUUAUUGGGUUUAAAGGGUGCGUAGGUGGUUCUUUAAGUCAGGGGUGAAAGACGGCAGCUUAACUGUCGCAGUGCCUUUGAUACUGAAGAACUUGAAUACACUAGAGGUAGGCGGAAUGUGACAAGUAGCGGUGAAAUGCAUAGAUAUGUCACAGAACACCAAUUGCGAAGGCAGCUUACUAUGGUGUCAUUGACACUGAGGCACGAAAGCGUGGGGAUCAAACA